rnacentral:rRNA from 1 species
GCGUGGGGAGCGAACCGGAUUAGAUACCCGGGUAGUCCACGCCGUAAACGGUGGAUACUAGCUGUUGGAGGUAUCGACCCCUUCAGUAGCGAAGCUAACGCGUUAAGUAUCCCGCCUGUGGAGUACGGUCGCAAGACUAAAACAUAAAGGAAUUGACGGGGACCCGCACAAGCGGUGGAUCGUGUUCUUUAAUUCGAUGAUAAACGAAGAACCUUACCAGGGUUUGACAUCCUUGGAAUUUCUGUGAAAGCAGAGAGUGCUUUAUUGAGCCAAGUGACAGGUGAUGCAUGGCCGUCGUCAGCUCGUGUCGUGAGAUGUUUGGUUAAGUCCAUCAACGAGCGCAACCCUUGUGAAUAGUUGUAUUUUUCUAUUCAGACUGCCCCGGUAACGGGGAGGAAGGAGGGGAUGAUGUCAGGUCAGUAUUUCCCUUACACCCUGGGCUAGAAACACGAUACAAUGGUUAGUACAAUGCGCANGCGAANGCCGCGAGGUGGAGCAAAUCGCAUCAAAGCUAAUCUCAGUUCGGAUAAGAGGCUGAAACUCGCCUCUUUGAAGUCGGAAUCGCUAGUAAUCGCAGAUCAGCAAGCUGCGGUGAAUACGUUCCCGGGUCUUGUACACACCGCCCGUCAAACCAUGAAAGUGACCAACACCCGAAGUCCGAUUCGUCGGCCUAAGGUGGGGGGCAUGAUUGGGGUU